AACAUGGGUUUCUCGUACGAUCACCUAAGUUAAGCACCGUUGAGCCUGGUCAAUACCUAGAUGGGUGACCGCUUGGGAAUACCAAGUGCUGUAAG
rnacentral:rRNA from 1 species